rnacentral:tRNA from 1 species
AUUUAUGUAGUUUAUAAAAACAUUACAUUUUCACUGUAAAAAUAAAGAAAACUUUCAUAAAUA